rnacentral:pre_miRNA from 1 species
AGCCUUCUGUAUCUGCUGAGAUUUCGUCACACACUAGACCACAACGGCUGAUGAGACUUCCAAGAUAAGUAAAGUG